rnacentral:lncRNA from 1 species
GCUGGGGGAAGACUCCACAGCGCCUUACAGAGAACUAAAACAACGCUUGAGCCCAGGAGUUCGAGGCUCCAGUGAGCUGUGAUCGAGCCACUGCACCCAGGCCUGGGCCACAGAGUGAGACCCUGUCUCAAAACAACGAGGACAACAAAAAACAAACCAAACCAACACACACACACACACACACACACACACACACACACACACACACACUCCUAAAUCAAGAGUUACAAAGAGCCAGACAGCCGGCGAACUUGGGCACAGGAGAGCUCUGCGCAUAGGGGCAAGAAGCGCCCUGAUGCAAGCGGGGCUGAACUGUGCACUCCCGGGGGCCAGGGCUGCGGCCACGUGGAGAAAGCGGGAAGGAAGCGGGCGGGGCUGUCAAGCAGGCCUAGGGCGAUCAGCCCUGGCACAGGCUGCCUUCAUAAGCAGGAGCCAUCCGCAGUGUGGCAAUCUCUUCUCCAGCCUGGCUCCUGGAAGGAGCCAGCUGAUCUUUUUCCCUUUCGUGUUCUUUGCCCUAAGUACUCCAGAAUUUUAAAUUAUUCUUAAAACAGAAGUAAAGAUAUUUUCAUGAUGGAAAAAUAAUGUGAAUUAAGCUUCUUAAAAAAAGAACAAGUCUCAUCUUUGGGGUGCAUGUUGUCCUAUUAUUUUGUCCAAAGCUUUCUUGACAGGCUAAAAAGGACUUUAGGUUCUUGUGUUUAAUAUUUUAACAAGAACUAGGAUACAGUUCGUAUUCGUUUCUAAAAUCCAUUGCAAAGUUGAUUUUGGUUGUGGUAGUUUUCCUUUCUUGUUUUUAGCAGAUGGCUUUCUAUUGACUGUUAACCUUAAAAUCAAAUGUGUAAAGCUUUUUAUUUAAAAGAAAAUAGUAAUCUUAAUUUGAGGUACAUUGUAUGUAGUCUUAAAGUUUGUGAUGGCUGGUUUAUGGUGGUGGGGAGUGUUUCUUUGUAACUUUUAGUUUUCUCUGAGUCUUUAAAUUUCACUGUUCUCGUAGUUAUGAGCUAGUAUAUCUGCACUUGAUCUGGGCCCAGACAUAUUUUGAUUGUAAAUAAAAAGUCUUCUUUUAUGAGGAUGUUCACUUCACAGCUUGAGCAGUGUAAUUUUUAUACAGGUCUCAGCAAUCAAUAAAAAAGCCACAGGAGGAAUGAUUUAU